UCCUCCCUCUGGCGGCGUGCUUAACACAUGCCAGUCGAACGGAAAGGCCCUGCUUUUGUGGGGUGCUCGAGUGGCGAACGGGUGAGUAACACGUGAGUAACCUGCCCUUGACUUUGGGAUAACUUCAGGAAACUGGGGCUAAUACCGGAUAGGAGCUCCUGCUGCAUGGUGGGGGUUGGAAAGUUUCGGCGGUUGGGGAUGGACUCGCGGCUUAUCAGCUUGUUGGUGGGGUAGUGGCUUACCAAGGCUUUGACGGGUAGCCGGCCUGAGAGGGUGACCGGCCACAUUGGGACUGAGAUACGGCCCAGACUCCUACGGGAGGCAGCAGUGGGGAAUAUUGCACAAUGGGCGGAAGCCUGAUGCAGCAACGCCGCGUGCGGGAUGACGGCCUUCGGGUUGUAAACCGCUUUCGCCUGUGACGAAGCGUGAGUGACGGUAAUGGGUAAAGAAGCACCGGCUAACUACGUG
rnacentral:rRNA from 1 species